rnacentral:rRNA from 1 species
UCCAGACUCCUACGGGAGGCAGCAGUGGGGAAUAUUGCACAAUGGGGGAAACCCUGAUGCAGCGACGCCGCGUGAGUGAAGAAGUAUUUCGGUAUGUAAAGCUCUAUCAGCAGGGAAGAAAAUGACGGUACCUGAUUAAGAAGCCCCGGCUAACUACGUGCCAGCAGCCGCGGUAAUACGUAGGGGGCGAGCGUUAUCCGGAUUCACUGGGUGUAAAGGGAGCGUAGACGGCCGUGCAAGCCAGGAGUGAAAGCCCGGGGCCCAACCCCGGGACUGCUCUUGGAACUGUGCGGCUGGAGUGCGGGAGGGGCAGGCGGAAUUCCUGGUGUAGCGGUGAAAUGCGUAGAUAUCAGGAGGAACACCGGCGGCGAAGGCGGCCUGCUGGACCGCGACUGACGUUGAGGCUCGAAAGCGUGGGGAGCGAACAGGAUUAGAUACCCUGGUAA